GUAACUCCAAUUUCUAAACUUGAGAGCUGUACAGGCCUGUUACAAAGUGGUUACCUUUUAACCACUAACUUCCGAGAAAAAACUUGGAUCACUGAGGAGAGAACGAAGACAAAUAUAAUUGAAGCCCCAGGGAAAGAAAGUUGACUGAGGAAACUGAGGUUUAUGUUGCAAGAAAGUGAUGAAACCAGGAUCAAAGCCAGCUUUGCCUGUGUUCUUUCCACCUUCCAGUCCCUGCUGUCCUGUGAGGAUAAUUAGCAAACGCAGACGUGCUCGCUCGCACAGAACACGCUCCCUCUGGUGGAAGGAAGUCAGAGAGCUUUGUGACAGGCUUUAACCAAUAGGAGGUGGCAGAAGUGAAGCUCUGCUGCUUCAGGGCCUUGCCAUUAAGAGGCUUGGCAGAGUCUGCUUUUGCUGUCUUGGAUCCCGUCCUCGAUGCCGUAAGGAAGUCUAGGCCAUCCUGCUGAAGAGGAAGGUCGUGAGGAAAAGCUCUUGAAGAUGGGAAAUCAUGGAGAAAGAGACGGCGUGUGAGGGAGAACCAAAAUGCCCCAGCUAAGAGCCAGCACCACAACUGGAGACAUGCUCAGCCCCUCCACCUGCUGAGUGCACCACACAGAGCAGACACGAUCCAAG
rnacentral:lncRNA from 1 species